rnacentral:rRNA from 1 species
CCUACGGGAGGCUGCAGUGGGGAAUAUUGCACAAUGGGCGCAAGCCUGAUGCAGCCAUGCCGCGUGUGUGAAGAAGGCCUUCGGGUUGUAAAGCACUUUCAGCGGGGAGGAAGGCGGUGAGGUUAAUAACCCCAUCGAUUGACGUUACCCGCAGAAGAAGCACCGGCUAACUCCGUGCCAGCAGCCGCGGUAAUACGGAGGGUGCAAGCGUUAAUCGGAAUUACUGGGCGUAAAGCGCACGCAGGCGGUCUGUCAAGUCGGAUGUGAAAUCCCCGGGCUCAACCUGGGAACUGCAUUCGAAACUGGCAGGCUAGAGUCUUGUAGAGGGGGGUAGAGUUCCAGGUGUAGCGGUGAAAUGCGUAGAGAUCUGGAGGAAUACCGGUGGCGAAGGCGGCCCCCUGGACAAAGACUGACGCUCAGGUGCGAAAGCGUGGGGAGCAAACAGGAUUAGAUACCCUAGUAGUC